GAAUAAAUAGGGUGCUCUCUUCAUCAGAGAGGCCUGACCUUCAUUCUUCUACACUGUGCACUAUAAACAUAUUCUGAGUUUUGAAGUAAGUCAAUCUGUUCAGAUUGAACGAACCAAGGCGCAGAAUUACCUCUUAAAACACUACAAGCCUAAGAAUGUAAACAAAUAUAAAACAAAAAAAACUUUCAACAACGGAUCUCUUGGCUCU
rnacentral:misc_RNA from 1 species